rnacentral:lncRNA from 1 species
GAAGACGCCUGCUACACACUCACGCGAAAAAACCCCAUCACUCUUCUUCUUCGACCAACAGACCCCCACCCUUAACGUUGGAUCAUCUUCUUUAGCAAACAAGGAAGAAACCAUUUUUCUAAGAUUGAACAACCUAACCAUGGCUUGAUCCUUAAAAAAAACCAAGCAGACCUCCGCCAUUUUUGAUCUUCUUCACGAUAAACAUGAAGCAGUGAAACAGAGCUCGACCAGCCAACAACCAGAUCAAACCAAUGACGGUUGAGCUCAUCUUCUCCAACCUAAAACAGUUGUUGCUUCUUCUUCUUCACCCGGAUCUUUAGUACGCCCAAAACGAGCUUACAAUUGACUGCAAACCAGUCCUUAACUCCAACUGAAAAAUAGCCUCAACGCUACCGUAAAACCACCAAAAACGCAGUCACAAGAAGCCCUAAAAGGAACAGUCCAAAACCUUCGCAAAGUUGUCUUCCUUCACCCCAAUGAGCGGUCCUCCAUUCUGCUUCAAUGGCUACAAUACGAGCCGAGUUCGAGUCAGGAUAGUCGGGGUUCGUUGAGGUCUCCGGCGAGCUUGACUCUAGUCGAAUUCCCUUUCUUUAUUUCAUUUGAUUUCUUGAGAAAUUGUUUCGAGCUUACUGGGUGUAGAGCUCUUUGGCGCGUUUGACGACAUCAAAAGUAUGCUACUGAGUUUCUUAAAUGUGAGGAUGGUUUGGUUCAAUUAAUGGUAUGCCUUUUUUCUUCCUAUUUAUAUUUCAGUUUCUGUUGGUAUUUUCAGUUUUGUUUUGCUUAUUGAAACCCCAAGUCUGUGGAUCUGUGGUUUUAAUUGCUGGUUUUUGCUAUUUCUACGUUUUACAUUUUAGCUUCACAUUUUUCAAGAACACUUUAAUGUAGUAUUAAUUUAUAGAAUAUCUUUGGAUGAAAGGUGGAAGUGUCAAAGUUUGUUUAGUUCUUGUGUGAAUUUAUUGCAAG